rnacentral:tRNA from 1 species
GCUUAUUUGGCGUAGCGGUAACGCAUUGGGUUUCAAGCUUCAAAGAUUUUACCGUCGUGAGUUCGAAUCCCGCUGUCGGCG